rnacentral:rRNA from 1 species
UAUUGGACAAUGGGCGAAAGCCUGAUCCAGCCAUGCCGCGUGUGUGAAGAAGGUCUUCGGAUUGUAAAGCACUUUAAGUUGGGAGGAAGGGCAGUUACCGAAUACGUGACAGUUUUGACGUUACCGACAGAAUAAGCACCGGCUAACUUCGUGCCAGCAGCCGCGGUAAUACGAAGGGUGCAAGCGUUAAUCGGAAUUACUGGGCGUAAAGCGCGCGUAGGUGGUUUGGCAAGUUGGAGGUGAAAGCCCCGGGCUCAACCUGGGAAUUGCAUCCAAAACUGCUUGGCUAGAGUACGGUAGAGGGUGGUGGAAUUUCCUGUGUAGCGGUGAAAUGCGUAGAUAUAGGAAGGAACACCAGUGGCGAAGGCGACCACCUGGACCGAUACUGACACUGAGGUGCGAAAGCGUGGGGAGCAAACAGG